CUACGGGCUUAGCCUAAAACCCAAAGGACUUGACGGUGUCCCAUCCAACUAGAGGAGCCUGUUCUACAAUCGAUAACCCCCGUUAAACCUGACCUCUUUUUGCUUUUUCAGCCUGUAUACCUCCGUCGUAAAUUUACCGCGUGAGUGGAAAAUAGUACUAUUCAAUGUAUCUCACCAAAACGUCAGGUCAAGGUGCAGCCUAUAAAGAGGGAAGCAAUGGGCUACAAUUUCUAACUUAGAACAAACGAAUUACUACAUGAAACCCAGCUAUGAAGGAGGAUUUAGCAGUAAAGAGAAACCAGUGUGUUCUCUUUAAUACGGCCCUGGGACGCGUACACACCGCCCG
rnacentral:rRNA from 1 species